UAUAACAUUCCACAGAUCAACUGCCGCCGCAGCAGUCAGAUUAUAAUCGAUGGUUACCGCUUUAUCUUUCCUGGUUGAUGAAAUCGGGCCUCCCUAUAUAGCAAAAUCAUCAGGUGUUGUAGAACGAUCGUUGGCUGUUCAGAGGAUUUCGGAAGACAAUGUCGUCUCAGGGCAACAAGUCUUCAUCUCAUCGGCCUCAUUUGACUCAAAGAACCAGUUACACUGCUAAAAAAGUGGUCACUGGCCAUCGUACAUCGCCAAAGUUUUUAAGGUUCAGUAAUAAGAUGAUGGCUAAGGUUAGAUGGUAUUAGUGACCUGAGGACACAGAAGACGGCAGGAGGGUUUUUCAUGGAGAAAAGGGUUCGGUAAUAAGAUGAUGGCUAAGAUUAGAUGGUAUUACCGGCCUGAGGACACAGAAGACGGCAGGAGGCUUUUCCAUGGAGAAAAGGAUUCGGUAAUAAGAUGAUGGCUAAGAUUAGAUGGUAUUACCGGCCUGAGGACACAGAAGACGGCAGGAGGCCGUUCCAUGGAGAAAGAGAGGUUUUUAUUAGCAAUCAUUUCGAUUUGCAAAGCACCGAGAUCAUCCAAGGAGAGUGUGGUUCAUACUUUACAGAAGUAUAUAGCACACAAUUGAAUCACAAUCGAGUUUUAACGGCGUAGUUUCUAAGCUUUAGUUGAAUAACAAGUACAUAAAUGAAUCUUCAAGAAUAUUAAUUAAAGUUGUAGUUAUCUUUAUUUUUUUA